UACGUAGGGUGCGAGCGUUGUCCGGAAUUACUGGGCGUAAAGAGCUCGUAGGUGGUUUGUCGCGUUGUUCGUGAAAACUCACAGCUUAACUGUGGGCGUGCGGGCGAUACGGGCAGACUGGAGUACUGCAGGGGAGACUGGAAUUCCUGGUGUAGCGGUGAAAUGCGUAGAUAUCAAGAGGAAUACCUGAGGUGAAGACGGGUUGCUAGGCCGACACUGACGCUGAAGCGCGAAAGCCAGGGGAGCAAACGGG
rnacentral:rRNA from 1 species